AGAUAUAUAACAAGUGGGAUUUGAGCUCUCUGCCCCAUUUAAAAACUCUUGCAGCAGCAUUUGUUUGAGAAAUAGAGUCCACAAGGUCAAACCUGUUGUCAUAGUUAAAAAAAAAGCACUGACUUUUGGCACCACAUCAAAUUUAAAGUUAGUUUUACAUGGAAUUCUGUAAGAAUUGUUUGUGUAAAAAAAUGUUGAUAUAAUCUAUGCGAAGGAUUUGCACAGUUCCUGAUGUGGCACCAUUUGUUAAUCACACAUAAGUAUUAACAAAUAGCUGUAUAAGCACAGUGUGAUGCUCCUUGGUGUUGUGCAGAUUUCAUAUGGUAUGAGUACAUACUAGGGAUGGGCGAUCGAGACGAUAUGCAAUAUAAACGAUACAAAAUUGGCCUACGAUAGAGAUUUUAAUUAUAUUGCACUAUCGCGAUAAUUCAUGUUGAUGACGCAAUCUACCCGCGAAAUUUAGGGCCACUAGCUGCAACACGUCACGUCAUCUUGAGUAAACAUGGCUGAAAGAGGAACAAGGAGCUGGUGAAAAAGACCAGUGCAAAAUCCAUUAUUUGGACUUGGUUUGGAUUUAAGCAGCUACAACGGACUUGGGGUCGAGCCGUACCAUGGAGCCUUUCAUCAGCCUGACAAUUUACUAUAUAACGGACGAUUGGAAUCUUGGCAGCCGGUGUUUGCAGACGUCGUACUUCCCCGCUGAACAUACGGCCGUGUGUGCGUGUGUGUGUGUGCAGCG